rnacentral:lncRNA from 1 species
CUGCCUCCCCUCCCCAUCUCAAACCCACCUGCCGCCUCCGCCGCCCCCGUCGCCCCCUCCUCCGCCGCCCCCGUCGCCACUCCCGCCUUCCGCCUCUUCCUCUCCCGCCUCUCGGACUCCGUCGGCCGCUCCCUCUCCAACCGCCGCCCCUGGUCGGAACUCGCCGACCGAUCUGCCUUCUCCCGUCCGGAUUCCCUCUCCGACGCCUCCUACCGCCUGCGCAAGAACCUCACCUACUUCCGCGUCAACUACGCCGCUGUCGUCGCCGCCGUCCUCGCCAUCUCCCUCAUCACCAACCCCUUCUCUCUCGUCGUUCUCCUCGCCCUC